CGUGGGGGGGGGUGCCUAUACAUGCAAGUAGAACGCUGAAGAGAGGAGCUUGCUCUUCUUGGAUGAGUUGCGAACGGGUGAGUAACGCGUAGGUAACCUGCCUUGUAGCGGGGGAUAACUAUUGGAAACGAUAGCUAAUACCGCAUAACAAUGGAUGACACAUGUCAUUUAUUUGAAAGGGGCAAUUGCUCCACUACAAGAUGGACCUGCGUUGUAUUAGCUAGUAGGUGAGGUAACGGCUCACCUAGGCGACGAUACAUAGCCGACCUGAGAGGGUGAUCGGCCACACUGGGACUGAGACACGGCCCAGACUCCUACGGGAGGCAGCAGUAGGGAAUCUUCGGCAAUGGGGGCAACCCUGACCGAGCAACGCCGCGUGAGUGAAGAAGGUUUUCGGAUCGUAAAGCUCUGUUGUAAGUCAAGAACGAGUGUGAGAGUGGAAAGUUCACACUGUGACGGUAGCUUACCAGAAAGGGACGGCUAACUACGUGCCAGCAGCCGCGGUAAUACGUAGGUCCCGAGCGUUGUCCGGAUUUAUUGGGCGUAAAGCGAGCGCAGGCGGUUUGAUAAGUCUGAAGUUAAAGGCUGUGGCUCAACCAUAGUUCGCUUUGGAAACUGUCAAACUUGAGUGCAGAAGGGGAGAGUGGAAUUCCAUGUGUAGCGGUGAAAUGCGUAGAUAUAUGGAGGAACACCGGUGGCGAAAGCGGCUCUCUGGUCUGUAACUGACGCUGAGGCUCGAAAGCGUGGGGAGCGAACAGGAUUAGAUACCCUGGUAGUCCACGCCGUAAACGAUGAGUGCUAGGUGUUGGAUCCUUUCCGGGAUUCAGUGCCGCAGCUAACGCAUUAAGCACUCCGCCUGGGGAGUACGACCGCAAGGUUGAAACUCAAAGGAAUUGACGGGGGCCCGCACAAGCGGUGGAGCAUGUGGUUUAAUUCGAAGCAACGCGAAGAACCUUACCAGGUCUUGACAUCCCGAUGCUAUUUCUAGAGAUAGAAAGUUACUUCGGUACAUCGGUGACAGGUGGUGCAUGGUUGUCGUCAGCUCGUGUCGUGAGAUGUUGGGUUAAGUCCCGCAACGAGCGCAACCCCUAUUGUUAGUUGCCAUCAUUCAGUUGGGCACUCUAGCGAGACUGCCGGUAAUAAACCGGAGGAAGGUGGGGAUGACGUCAAAUCAUCAUGCCCCUUAUGACCUGGGCUACACACGUGCUACAAUGGUUGGUACAACGAGUUGCGAGUCGGUGACGGCAAGCUAAUCUCUUAAAGCCAAUCUCAGUUCGGAUUGUAGGCUGCAACUCGCCUACAUGAAGUCGGAAUCGCUAGUAAUCGCGGAUCAGCACGCCGCGGUGAAUACGUUCCCGGGCCUUGUACACACCGCCCGUCACACCACGAGAGUUUGUAACACCCGAAGUCGGUGAGGUAACCUUUUGGAGCCAGCCGCCUAAGGUGGAAUGGGGGA
rnacentral:rRNA from 1 species